CCUGUGCUUCUGAGGGACCAAUGGAGGGGUCUCUAUCCCAUCAAAGCAGAGGUGACCUUGGAAGUAGAAUGUUUGCAUGAAUCGGUGACCUGAUAACCUAGACAUCUUAUCAGGAGUCUGUCCCUGCUCAUGCGUCCCUCUGUGCACUGUUUAGUCAGUCUUCCUUCUAGCCUUGUUGUAUUUUUGUUUGAUUUUGUUAGCUUUGGUUCACCAUUAACCCCAAAGCUCUGUGCAGAUGAAGUGCUGACAGCAUCUCAAACAACCAGUGCAAGUUGGGAGGACUUCUAAACGUGGGGCCUCCCCUUCUUGCUUUUCUUUCCCUGCUGGGCCUGCACAAAGGAAGCUUAAGGCUUGGCACAAACACCUCCCUGGUUUUUCGCCCAACCUGCAGGGUCCUGUUAGCUGCAUUGCAUGCCUCUUGGGCCUGCCCACAAUCUUUCAACUCCCAGCUUCAGGGGUUUGGGAAAACCUUUGGGACACCUGGGAUUUAAAAGUUUCCUGAGAGAUCUUACUACGAACCAUCUGUGUGACCUUAGGCAAGUUGCCUAACCUCUGUUUGCAGCGGGUCCUUUCAGAAGUAAUAACUGAGGAUUAAAGGAGUUGAUAUGUGUAUAUUAAAUGCACUUAGUGGGGGCCGGGCACUGAGUGUGCUAUAGCUGUUAGCUGCUCCCUUCUUGCUGUUUCCGUUGUUGUUAGUUCCCAGAGCCUGAGCCAGGGAGGGAAGGGCCACAGUUGGAUUUAUUUUUCCAGGGCAGCAAUGACGGAAAAUAACAAUACAUUAUGUGAAGGACUCUUUAAUCUCCCAAGUAGCUUAGGCAGAUCUUCUUAUUAUUAUUCUCAUUUUGUAAGUGAAGAAGUCGAGGCCAUACGUCUAGGAAGUGGCAUAGCUGGGGUUUGAGCCCAGGCAGCCUGGCUCCGGAACCUGAACCUCAGAUUCUUUGCAAACAGAAUCAUCGGGGUGGGUUUGUUUGUGUUUGAAGGAUACCAUCUGUGUGGGGCGCGAGUUUUUUU